CCUAACUCGAUCUCAUUUGUUAUAAAAGCCAAAGCUUAGUAGAAGGAUCAUCGCACUUCAGGAAAACGAGGUAGAGGGAAUAAAAGGAAAAUGCUUCCAAAGACAUUCCUCCUACUCUAUCUGCUCCUCCUCUCCACUUCAUCCAUUCCAUCGGGGAUGGCUGCAAGGAAUCUUGCUCAGGAUGGAACUGUCGGAUAUAUCGGAUAUCGUGCCCUGGCACCGAAAUCACCGGUAUGGAAAUCACCCCCGGGGCAACCUUACCGUCGUCGUCCGGGGUGCACGACGAUCUAUAAAUGUCGAGGUCCGCCGGUCCCAUAGCUUCAGAGAAAAACAGUGGGCAUACUACUGGUGGAUGCUGCGGCCGGUCCAACCCCUUGAAAUGGACGUAUAUGAACUAAAAUAAGCGGCAGCAUAAAUGGAAGUCGUGUUCGGUUAAUUUGCUGCAUGUGUACGGUGUAAUGGUAGCAAAUAUGGCGCCUUUUAAAGUUCCGUUCCACGGAGUUGCGGUCUCUUUCUUGUCCACUUCUUUAUUGUUAUUUUUUGCGUUCCAUAUCUAUGGUCGGAUGGAAAUCUUGACAUCCCCCACUAAUUGCAGUAAUUAAAGUUAAAUGAUACA